CCAUGUAAGACGUGCCUGCUUCUCCUUCAUCUUCUGCCAUAAUUAUGAAGAAAAGGAGGCUCAGAGAGUUUAAGAAACUUACCCUCCUCACACCAUGGAUAACAGGCAGAGCCAAAAGCAAAUGCAGGUCAGUGUGACCCUACACUCAAAGCCUGGGACUCACCCUGCAACAGGCUGGGUGAGGAGCCUUAGGGGCACCUGAGCUUUUGAAGCCACUCUGAUGAUGAAGACGUUGAUGCUCAAAAGUCGCUAAUGAGAAGCUGAGCCAAGAGUCAGAUCCAAAGUCCUUCCAGCUCUGAAGCCUGCAUUGUUUCCAACGCAUGAUGUUGUCUGAAUGGCUCAGUGAUGGCUUGGCUGAAGAAGACUUCAUGAUCACUCCCAUUUUGAAGAUCAGCACAUUGAGGUUCAGAGUGGUGAAAUGACUUGAAGUUCCUGUGGAGAGUAAAUGGGAAACAUCAGAGGAAUGAUUUGAACCCUGGUCUGUCCACCUUCAGUGCCCAUAUUUUGUCCUCCAUGCUUUGAAGCACAAAUCAUGAUUCAGGUGAAGAAAGAUAUUUUAAGAGCUAUGAAGAUUGCUGGUAUUCUCAACAACAAGAGCUCUGUGGUCACAUGUGAGUCUAGUUUGGGUUGUUGCUUUUCAAACUUAUUUGAUUACAAAACUAUAGAUGUCAAUUAUUUUGCAAAAUGCUUAGUGCUGGAGAUGAUGAGUGCCUAGAUGUAAGCAUCUGCUGCUGGGUUUUGCUUUCAGAAGACACAGAGAAAAAUACAAAUUUAUCAAACCUAUUAGCCUAAGAUUAUUGUUAUCAUGAAGCAUUUUUGUUUAUAAAAGUAUUUCCUUUAAUAAGCAUAAGCAUUAGCAGCCCCAUUCACCAACUGUCAACUUGGUGCCUACUCAGAGCAGUGCUUCUACACCCCGCCACCUCCUGCCAGCUGCUGGGGUCCCUGCUCCCUGCUCAGGAGCUCACUGUGGAAUGGAUCUGAAGGUGCAGCCUGGGCAUUGAGAGUUUCAAAAGCUCCCCACAUGGUCCUAACAUGCAGCCAGAAUUCAGAACUAUUGAUUUAGAUUGGUAGGGAGACUAGGAGAGUAGGGAAGAAGAAAUCCAUAGUCUAAAGGGUUAAGGAAGCUCUUAGAGUGACCAACCCAUUCCAGUUUGCCAGGGAUUGUUCUGAAUUGAAAACUGAAAAUCCUGUGUUUUGUGAAACCCCUCAGUCCCAGGCAAACCAGGGUGGCUGGUGACCCAUGGUACAUUUCCGGGUGUUAGGUAAAGACAAAGGCUCUCAAAUGACAAUCUUUGUCUAUGGGAAAUAGACAAAACCUCUCUUUAC
rnacentral:lncRNA from 10 species